AUGUGGUUACAUUAAAUUACCCAAAGGUGGUGCCAAUGUUUUCGCGGUCAACACAUGAUCGUUUGUUGAUUAUCUCGAGAGAUUUUAAUUGUUGUUUCAUCUUAAUUGUAACGAAAUUAACAACUAUCACGAUUAUUACUAAUUGUUUUCCAUGUUCCAAAUUAUUGAAGGAGAUUCGGUUUUAUGUGAUCAUCUUUUUCUUUGGUACAUGUAAUGAAAAUCAUCAGAGAAAAGUCAUCAACAGGUAACCACAAUUACGCAACUUGAUCAGUUAAUUAUUUGUGUGUGAUUUUAAUCAAUUUUUCUUUUAAAUUGUUUAUUUAAUUUCUUCAUCUCGGAAGAAACAUGAUUCAAGUGAUUGAUGGAAUUGUAAAAUAUAUUUAAUGUGUAUUCUUUUUAAUGAUAUUUCGCACUUAUCCUAUUUGGCUUUUUUUCUCAGUGUUUCUUAUGUUUCAUGUAAACAUUUAACUCGCCAUCAGUUUAAUGGUUUAUAAUUAAACUUUACAGGUAAAAAAAGGUGUAAAUGAGAUUUAACCAGUUUAAUUAAUAAACUACCACACAAUCAAGUUGAUUAAGAGGAUUCGCCUUGAAUUUACCUUGAAUGAUUAAUUUUACUUUGGGUUAAAAAUCAACCAAGUUACCAUCCCAAUCGUGUUGGUAAUUCCUGUAACCAUUUUCAAUGGAUCAGCAAAGUUUACAUGUUUAAUUUGAUUGUAAUCAAUUGAUCUUCAAUUCUUAAUUGUCGUCAUUAUUACAAUUAAACGAUGAUAAUAACGAUCAUAACGAUUAACUUAAUUGAUGUUGAUAAGUAAAUGACCUGGGAUAAGAUAAUUAAACAUGAUUAGGAUGCGAAAGUAAAUUUUUACAACCUUAAGGCUGCGAAAACGAUACAAACCAAAUUAACUGUACAUUUGAAUAAACUAUUAACUUUUUUGUAAUAGUUAAUUAAUUAGUUUGCCUCUUGU